CCUUAGAGAGACAGUUCUCGGCUUCUUUUACCUGGAUUCAACACGGCCUGCCCAGAGCCAUGGCCUCUGAAGUGGUGUGCGGGCUGGUCUUCAGGUUACUGCUGCUGAGCCGUCAGCACUGUCCUCCACCUGUCAGCGUUUAUUGGAGUUAAUGAAGGAAACACAGCCGGCAGCAGUGACUGCAGAGUCACACCAAAGGCAUGGUGUCUGUGUUUCAGGUAUAGGUGGACGUCCAAGGUCCUGCCUUGGACUGUUUGUCAGCGGACCCACGUGUUCCUCAUCAGUUCAUUACCUGCAAAUACUUAAGGACCAAGUUGGUCUGUUCCUGGGAAAUGUGAUUUUGCUUUCUUGUGAGUAAAUUCAGGGGUGUUACCAUCUUUGCUGCCUGCUUUGUAAGGAAAUCCAAAAGCCCAUCGCAGCUCAGUGAACUGAAACUUAUCUGUGGAUCUCUCUUUUGCAAAUUCCUUUGAUUAGACUGGUGCACUUGUACAAAAUAAACAUUAG